GUAGCUCAGCUGGAUAGAGUACCUGGCUACGAACCAGGCGGUCAGAGGUUCGAAUCCUCUCGGACGCGCCA
rnacentral:tRNA from 1 species